UUUUACUGAAAGGGUAUUUUUCUUUAUUUAUGUACAGUGCAAUAAUGUCAUUGCUACAAGGAUUUUGUUGGACAAUAUGAAGGUUUUAUUUAUGUCUCCUGUAAGCAUAUGCCAACUGGAACUGUCAUAUAUUGCUGUGUUUACAUGCUCAUGGCAUGGGUUUUUCCUUAAAUGCAAAUUUAAUCUAUAUAUAGAAAUUCAGGAAGUAUGAAAUUAUCAUGAUUUUGAACUCUGCAAAAGAGCUGGCAUCCUGAAGGUUGUUCUUCCUCCUCUACAGUUGACAAGACACUGUCUGAUAUCAGAUUAAUAGUUUUAUUUUGGGUUAAAAAAAAUUAUUGAGUUUAAAAAAACAUUGGGACACCCUGUCAUAGUGGUCAAUGCUGAACUACAUUGUACUCAAUUCAACCCCUACCCCCCACCCCCCCCCCCUCUCUCUCUCUCUCUCUCUCUCCUCAUUCCCUCUCAUUUAAUUUCUCCGAUGGCUAUCCUAUAAAGGCGCUCAAGAAUACUAUGGAGAAACAUAUUCAUAUAUUCAAUAAUAAUUAGCGAUGGAUGCCAUUCAAAUAAGAACUAUAUGUCUGCCAGGAGAGAAGAAAUCAUUUGGUAGAAAGACUCUUAUAUGAGCAGGUGUGAAGAGGUCAACGGAAAAGAUUAAUAUUCACGAAUAGCUUAAUUUUGUUUCAUUUUAAUGUCUUCUAUGUCACAUUUCUAUUAUGUGCAAAAGCCGCCACAUACAUGAACGUAAACAUAGUUCAUGAUAAACCAUGAUGCCUUUAAACUUUUAUCAUACACACUUUUCCUUCAUUAAAAACACUUUUGACAGAUUAGAACAAACUCAUUUAAGGAUUAAAAGUUAUUACAACCCAAUUCGUAUAGGUUUUCCAGUACUUAUCUGUGGAUAUUUACUUGUCGCCUGUUUAUUGUUUCUAUGUUUAACAAAGUGUUAGCUUUUAGCCUACUCUUGGUUUUCCUUACACAUUUAGGGUGUGGUAAGUAAACUUUGCAGUAUGUCAGCAAAAUGUAAGCUGUAUGUAGAACCUGAACCGCUUUUAGUUGUGCGUCUCAGUGAAGUAAUAGCACUUUGGUUAUUUUACAGAAAUGCUCAUAGGAUUGGACAGGAGCUUGAAGGCUAACAGCAAGGAACUGUGCACUCUGGAGACACAGAUCUCCCCAAACUCCAUACUCCAUAUUGGUGGUAAAGAAUUGACCAGGAAAAAUAAAGAAAUCUGUUAACAGGC